UGAAGACGACAUCAUUGCGCGUCUUCCAAAGCCUCCACAUGGUGAGGAUCAGGAUUGAUUUGGCUCCGCUUUGGGUGUCGGGGGAAGCAUUGGCCACCGCUGUUUCAAACCAGGAGUUGAAGUCAUCGUCGCGACAUGGGAUGCAGGUUGUAAUGUUCAGCUGGGAGCAGACGUCAAACCAAAUUUGCUGUGAGAAAGAGCACUGGAUCAUUAGAUGAGCAAUGGAUUCAGACUCUUGGUCACAAAGGGCACAUGUGUCGUCAGUGGACAGGCCAUGGCGCAUACGUCGCUCGGAGUCCAGCAGCGGUCAAGAGAGGCGAGCCAGGCAAACACUUUGCAUCUGAGAGGCGCCCAACAUUUCCAGACGGACUCAUGAUGCGGAUGCUUUGUCAUGCCCUCGAAAAGGGCUGAGUAUGCAGAUUUGGCUGUGUACUUCCCUGAAGUGGAGAAGUUCCAGGAGAAGGAAUCCUCGGUUUCAUGUUGAGUAGAUAGCAGUUCAGCCAGGUCUAGGAACUGAUCAAGAGCAUCGGCAGAGAGCGCACCGGAUAUGUCGUUGACCCAAGCAUUUUGGGGAAGGGCAGAGGCUACCUUUCUACUGCGGACAGCCCACCGGUUGACUGCAGCAACGAUGUCGGGAGCAAGGUCACUAAUGCUUUGUCCCUCAAUCCAACGAUCAGACCAAAAGAGGACAUUGGUACCAUUUCCUAGAUGAACUUUGGUAGCAGCGUGGACGAGGGCGUCGACGUGUUUGUUUGUUUUGAUAGGAAAGUUCCUCCAGGGCUUCGAAGCGUCAGUUCGCUUGAGCCACGACCAUCUGGCUCUGAGUGCCCAGCCCAUGCGUUUGAUGUCCAGCACGCCGAGACCACCAAACUCGGUGGGGCGGCAAACCUCGUUCCAAGCAACAGCACAACUGCCACCGCCGUUAUCUCGACCUGAAGCCCAGAAGAACGACCUCUGACAUUUGAUAAUGACUUCUUUGAUGGGUUUGGGGACACCAGUAGCAAGCAGGAUGUGAAUGGGUGUUGCGACGAGGACAGAUUUGAUGAGCACCAGGCGAUCACCUUUGGAUAGGAGCCCAGCGCGCCAUCCAGAAAGCUUGUCAUGCAGGCUGUCAAUUAAGGGCUGUAAAUCAUGCACACGCAGCUUCCAGAUUGACAGAGGGACUCCCAGGUUCACGUGUGGAGUAAUUUGCCGACAGACUCAGUUAUAGUGAAGCGGGAGUAUUACUAGCUUGGAUGAAAGGUUUGUCAGUCUGCAUUAUUUAUGGAGCAGGGCUCAUCCCGGCUCAACAUCUUGCCAUCAUCACCUGUUGCUGCGUCUCAGCCGUUGAACUGAUCCGAUGACUUCCUUGAUUUCAAGCUUGCAUGCUGAUGCACCAGAAGAGAAUAUUAAUGGGAAGCAUGAACCUGUGGUUGCUAACCCGUCAAAAGAGUCGACCCAUUCACCAAAGCCCCUGCUCAUCCCACUUAUGUCAGUUCUAUGAAGAAGCCCCUUGGUGCAAACAAGAUUGGUGACAAAGUGGCCCAUCCCAUUCUUGCUUUGAAUAUGUUGAGAAUGAGGAAUCAACUUAUGCAAAAACUGGUGGAGCUCACAUAAGUACAUGACUGGUCAUGUAAAAGCACUGAAAACCUCAAAUUUCUUUCAAGGGUAUGGAAUGGAUAAUGGGUUCCAAAGAAAAACAAGCACGGCAGCCUCAAAGGCUCAGAUAGAGGAGUCAGAUGAAGCAAGGAAACAAUGCUCUAAUGCGAAAAGAAUUUCAUCAUCACAAUUUUUCUGUAAUACAGACAAACAGAGAGCAGAAAGAGGCCAAACAAUCUCUUCAAAAGUUCUCGGUGCGUAAUAGUGUAAUAUUCCCUCCUUUUGCAAAUAAGUGUCAGAAAUAGUCUAA